rnacentral:rRNA from 1 species
AUUGAACGCUGGCGGCAGGCCUAACACAUGCAAGUCGAGCGGAUGAAGGGAGCUUGCUCCUGGAUUCAGCGGCGGACGGGUGAGUAAUGCCUAUGAAUCUGCCUGGUUGUGGGGGAUAACGUCCGGAAACGGGCGCUAAUACCGCAUACGUCCUGAGGGAGAUGGUGGGGGAUCUUCGGACCUCACGCUAUCAGAUGAGCCUAGGUCGGAUUAGCUAGUUGGUGGGGUAAAGGCCUACCAAGGCGACGAUCCGUAACUGGUCUGAGAGGAUGAUCAGUCACACUGGAGGUGAGACACGGUCCAGACUCCUGGGAGAGGCACCAGUGGGGAAUAUUGGACAAUGGGGGAAAGCCUGAUACAACCAUGCCGCGUGUGAGAAAGAGGUCUUCGGAUUGUAAAGCACUUUAAGGUGGGAGAAAGGGCAGUAAGUUAAUACCUAGCUGUAUUGACGUUACCAACAGAAUAAGCACCGGCUAACUUCGUG